AAAUCAAAAAAACAAUUGGAUGUACUUUUAUAGUUUGAUGGAACUUAAUCACUUUUUUUAAUUAUAAAAUACAUACCUCCCCGAAAAGACAAGUGUUAAUGAGUUAAAAUAAUAUUUGCAACUUACUAAUAGACAUAAACCAAGUUUACCAUUUUUAUUUUUUGAAUUAUCAAGACUCAUACUUACGGCUAUAAGUCUUUAUUUUUCAAAAUAAUCACAGGUGAUUUGGUUAAUGUAAAUUAAAUAAUAAAAAUGGCGACACUUGAAAUACCAAUAAAAAUGCUAAUAAAUCUAAGAAAAGAAAGAGUAAGGAAAGAUUGCGUGAAAGUAUAAAGAAACAAAGAUUAGCAUCGCAUAAAAUAGGGCUUGAAUGUAACUUAAAUGCUUAUAGAAGAAGAAAAAAAAAAUGUUAUUAAGAUAUUUUAACUCUCUAUCCAGCAAGGAUGCUCAAGAUUCGUAUCUUGCAAGUUUAAUAACUUUAAAUAACGUUUCAAAAAGAAGACCACGAAACAUUAAUUUAAAAGAUUAUAAUAGCAGUUACAAAUAUAAAUUUUUAAUUACAAAUCACGAGAUACUCACGAGUUCGUUUAUUUAUGUUUGCUUUUCUGCGUUUAUUUCAAUCUUUGGCAUAAAGAAUGGAAGAUUAGAGACCAAUAAAAGAAGCCUUUUAACUAAAGGUCACUCUCCCCGUGAUAGAAGAGGUAAACACAAGAAUCAGUAUAACAAUUUUACUCCUUAACUAAAAAAUAAAAUAUGUGAUCACAAUUCUUCUUUCAGAGGUAGAUACCAAGAUCUAUUAAUUAUAACCAAGAUGAAUGACUUGUUUAAAAUCAAGUAUGGAAAUGAUAAAUUGUCAUAUGAAUCUUAUCGCAACAUAUUUAACAAAGUUUUAACAUUUCUUUUGGGUACCCUAGGACUAAAACGUUCUAAAUGCGAUGAGUUUAAAAUUAAAUUUGAUGCAAUAAAAGUUGAACCUUUUAAUUUGGAAUUUACAAAGCCUGAACAACAAUUGCAUGAGCUUUAGUUACAGAAAGAACAGCACCACAAAGAUGCAGAAAUAUUUUAUGUUAGGAAAAAAAAUGCUUGGUUUAAAGCACAAAGGGAGUACAAAUUUGAGGCAAUUGCUUUUGAUUUCAAAAAAAAUCUUAACUUACCAAAUCAAUCAACCAACGACUUUUACUACAAACGAAAAUUAGCAUUUUAUUCAUUUUAAUAUUCAUCAUUUUAAUAUUCACGUGCUUUCAAGCAAUGAAGUUUAUUUGUAUUGUUAUGAUGAAACUAUAGCUAAAAAAGGGGCUGAUCAAGUAACUUCGAUGAUUUUUUUAUAAAACAUUUAGACAAAGAAAUUUGAUCUGUAGAGCUAUUUUGUGAUUCAUGUGCUGGCUAAAACAAAAACUUUACAUUAAUUCGUUUUAUGGAUUUUCUUGUUCAUGAAAAAAAAAAGGUUUGACUUUAUUAAAGUUACAUCUCCAGAACGUGGUCAUUCUGUUAUGGAAUGUGAUAAAGAUAUGGGAUUAAUUAAUUGCAAAACACCCAAAAUAGUGAUGCAUCAGAUUGGAUUAAAACAUUCAAAAAUGCUCGUAAAAAACCCACUCUGUUUCAUGUUAUAGAAUUAACGCAAAGUAUGGUUAAAAGUAUAACUGAUUUUAUGAGACCAUUUUAUAAGAAUAAAUGUCCAAUUCCAACUUGUCCUCUUUGUGAAUUUUGUUUCAGAGGAGACUCAAGUGGCAUUGUAUUUCAUCGUGAUUCGUGGAAUGGAUUAUUGUUGAAAACUAAUUUAAAAAAUAAUAGAAAGAACACUAUAAAUAGUGAAAUCCCCAUUCUGUAUAAUGCAAAACUUUGCAUCUCUUUGGCAAAGUACAGAGAUUUACAAGUAUUAAAAGGUUUACAUCCAAUGCUCAGGUUUACGAUUCUUUGCCAUACAAUCAGGAGGUUAUCGAGACAUUUCAUGAAAAUAUUGAUUCUGAAGAUGAAGAGCAAAUAGACUUCUUUUUUUAUUUAAAUUUUGUUUUUAAUUGUUUUUUUCUUAGUGUUUCUUGACAAAUUUAUAAUCUUUAA